rnacentral:rRNA from 1 species
UCAGGACGAACGCUGGCGGCGUGCCUAAUACAUGCAAGUCGAACGCUUUUUCUUUCACCGGAGCUUGCUCCACCGAAAGAAAAAGAGUGGCGAACGGGUGAGUAACACGUGGGUAACCUGCCCAUCAGAAGGGGAUAACACUUGGAAACAGGUGCUAAUACCGUAUAACACUAUUUUCCGCAUGGAAGAAAGUUGAAAGGCGCUUUUGCGUCACUGAUGGAUGGACCCGCGGUGCAUUAGCUAGUUGGUGAGGUAACGGCUCACCAAGGCAACGAUGCAUAGCCGACCUGAGAGGGUGAUCGGCCACACUGGGACUGAGACACGGCCCAGACUCCUACGGGAGGCAGCAGUAGGGAAUCUUCGGCAAUGGACGAAAGUCUGACCGAGCAACGCCGCGUGAGUGAAGAAGGUUUUCGGAUCGUAAAACUCUGUUGUUAGAGAAGAACAAGGAUGAGAGUAAAACGUUCAUCCCUUGACGGUAUCUAACCAGAAAGCCACGGC